AGCCGCGGCUGAGCCUCAGCCCCUGAGCACUGCGGGCGGCACUCGCUGCCCUGCCCGAUUCCCCGCGGCCGCGCCGUCCACAGACAGCAGCAGCAGCAGGAGGAGGAGGAGGACGCGUCCCGCUGCCGUGCUCCCGGGAGAAGACACAGGAUGAACCCACUGAUACAAGAUACAACUAGCUAAGCAGCUAUAAAAUGCCCAAAUUUGGGUCUACAAAAACAAUUCAAGUUGAAAAUUCUGACAGCAAUAGCACCAUGGUGGAAAAAACAACUGCAAGAAAGAGCAAGGACAAGAUUGCAUCCUACAGCAAAACUCCAAAAGUGGAUAGGAGUGAUGUGGGGAAGGAGAUGAAAGAAAAGUCUUCCAUGAAACGUAAACUUCCUUUUACUAUUAGUCCAUCCAGAAAUGAAGAUCGCAAUUCAGACGCAGAGAAGGAAGGUCCGGAGAAAAAGAAAAUGAAGAAGGAUGCUGGGAAUAAGAAAUCGGCACCCGUUAGCAUUCUUUUUGGUUACCCUCUGUCAGAGCGCAAACAGAUGGCACUUCUCAUGCAGAUGACAGCAAGAGACAACAGCCCAGAUUCCACCUUAAAUCAUUCCUUACAAACAACACCAACACAAAAGAAAACUCCAACCUCUUCUUCAAGACAAAAAGACAAAGUUAACAAGAGAAAUGAACGAGGGGAAACUCCUCUACAUAUGGCAGCAAUUCGAGGGGAUGUUAAACAGGUCAAGGAGCUAAUCAGAUUAGGUGCAAAUGUAAACGUAAAAGAUUUUGCAGGUUGGACACCACUGCAUGAAGCUUGUAAUGUUGGUUACUACGAUGUUGCUAAAGUACUGAUAGCAGCGGGAGCAGAUGUGAACACACAGGGCCUGGAUGAUGAUACCCCGCUUCAUGAUUCUGCUAGCAGUGGACAUAGAAACAUUGUGAAGCUGUUGCUUCGACAUGGUGGAAAUCCAUUUCAAGCUAAUAAGCACGGGGAAAGACCUGUUGAUGUUGCUGAAACUGAAGAAUUGGAAAUGCUGUUGAAAAGAGAGGUGCCCAUCUCUGAUGAUGAGAACAGUUGCUCAGAUUCUGAAGAAGCUCCAUCUGUAAAUCCUUCCAGUGUAGAUGGGAAUGUUGAUUCAGAAGCAGAAAAGGACUCUGUAGCCAACAACAGCAAACAAACGGUCCCUAAUAAGGCACCACUUCCAUCUGCUCUAGAUGAGUAUGAGUUUAAAGAUGAUGAUGAAGAUGAAAUUAAAAAAAUGGUUGAUGACAAACAUAUUCUUAAAAAAGACCCAAGGAAAGAAGAUGAGACUGAAGUUGAAAAGACCAGCUUAUUUGUGAAACAAGAAAAAGUUGUCUUUUCAAAAUCAUUCAAAAACAAAAAGCAGAAACCCUCUAGAGUUCUGUAUUCAAGUUCUGAAAGUUCAGAUGAAGAAAUACUUCAGGACAAGAAAAUGGUCUCUCCUUGCUCAGUUUCAGAGACAGCAAAUUCUGAUGUCAGAGUGAAGAAAGAAUAUAUGGUUACAAACGAGCACAAACAAAAGGGUAAAGUUAAAAGGAAAGUAAAAAAUCAAAGCAAAAAUAAAGAGAAUCAAGAAGUAAAGCAAGAAAAAGAAAAUGCUAGAGUAACAAAUAUAGCUACUUCUGGGUUAGAUUCUUUAGAUAAAGCUAGAGAGGAAGAAACCUUUAAGAAGUCUUUCACCUCAAAAGAAGAUUCUUCUUUACAUCUGUUUCAUAUCACUGCUGGAAAAUCUCCAAAGCAUCCCUGUGGGUUAAGUGAAAAGCAGUCAAUGGCAUUAAAGCAAGAAAACACCAAAACUUGCUUAUCACCAGGAGGUUCUGAAAUAACGUUGCAGUCCGAAUUAGUUCGGUAUGAUCACAACACUGAUGCUGAUUAUCUUGUAGAAAGUUCUAGUGGCAAAUCUUGCAAGCACAAAGAAAAAAGCAAGCAUCAUCAAAAGGAUUUUCACUUGGAAUUAGGUGAAAAAUCUAGUCCUAAAAUUAAAGAGGAAGAUAAUAGCUCAACAUUUGAGAAUUCAGAAUAUACUUUGAGAAAAAUUGACAAGGAAGGUAAAACACUUAAAAAGCAUAAAUUAAAGCACAAAGAAAGAGAAAAGGAAAAGCACAAAAAGGAACAGGAUGGGGAGAGAGAGAAACACAAACAUAAAGAAAAUGUUAAAGAGCUUCAAAGAAGUAUUGAGUUUGACAGAGAAUUUUGGAAAGAGAACUUUUUCAAAAGUGAUGAAAAUGAUGAUACAUUGGUAAAUAUGGAACAUGAAUCUUUUUCUUCAGACAGAAAAUCAAAGCUAGAAAAAUCUGUGGCAAAAGAAGAUAAGUUAGUUAGGGAGAGACAGUUCCAGAAAGAGAGAAGUAUUAAAGAUGAUAGGGAAAAAGAGAAGAACAAAAAGGAAAAUGAGAAGUUUCUCAAGGAUGAAAAAAUAAAAGAUCUAAAAGAAGAAAAAGAAGUUAUGCUUGCAGAUAAGGAAAUUGAAUUGUUCUGUUUUGGUGUUAAAGAUGAGGCAGCCAGUGUGCAUAUAGUAGAAAGAGAAACAGAUACUGAAAAGCAGGAAAAGAAUUUAAAGGAAAAUAAAGAGAAGACCGAAAAGCGAUUCUCAAUCAAAGAAAAAGAUUUUGAAAAGAUAGAAAGAAAACAUGGAGAAAAAGAGAAAAAGUUAAAGCAUGAACACAAAACAGAGAAAGAUAAAGCAGAAGUAAAUGAAAAUGCAGAGAAAGUAAAGGAGAAGUCUGGUUUUCAGCAAGCAGAAAGGUGCCAUAAGGAAAAUGACAAAGUAAAAAGCGUGGGUGCUCUUAAAAAAGGUGAUGACAAGGAAAGAAAUAAGGAAAGAACUGAUAAGAAGCAUGAUAAAGAAAAGGCUGAUAAAGACAGACAUUGGGCUGAAAGCAAAGAAAAACACUGUACUGAAAGAAAAGUCAAACAGUCUGAAAAAGAAUCUGAAUAUACUAAAUCAGAAAAAAAUAGAACUAAAGAAAAGGAAUUUGAAAAAAAAGACAAAUCCAAAGACAAGGAGACCUCCUCAUCAGCAAGCUCAAAACAUAUGCAAGAGGAAAGGAGAUGCACUAUUACUGAAAGUAAUAAAACAGUUCAUGACAAACUGUCAUCUUUGAAAGAAAAACCAAAAGAUGAUUUGUUGAAAACUCCAGAUGGUAGAGAGAAAGAUAAAAAAGAUAAAGAUAUAGACAGAUACAAAGAGAGGGACAAGCACAAAGAUAAACAGCAUCAAAGUAGUUUGCUGAAACUAAAACUUGAACAUGAGAAACUUAAGCCUAAACCAUCUCCUGCAUCGAAAGAUGCUCGGCCUAAAGAAAAAAGAUUAGUCAAUGAUGAUUUAAUGCAAACUAGUUUUGAAAGAAUGCUUAGCCUUAAAGAUCUGGAAAUAGAGCAGUGGCAUAGAAAGCAUAAAGAAAAAAUAAAACAGAAAGAGAAGGAACGUUUGAGAAACCGCACUUGUUCAGAACAUAACAAAAUGAAGGAAAAACCCAAACACUCAUUAUCUGAAGUAAAAGGCAAAGAACUGAUUCGUUCAAAAAGUUCUGAGUUGCCAGAUGUUUGUAUGAAGGAAAAGCAGCAGAAAGAUGCUACAAGUAAUAGAUCACAGUCACUAGAUACAAGAAGUGUCAAUGUUGCAAAGGCUUCAUUGGUUUUAGAGAAUUUAAGUAGAUCCCCCAAAUCAGAAAGUGAAAAGAUGGGGCUGAGCUCCAGGUCAGUGUCCAUGGUUUCUGUUGCGAGCUCUGAGGAUUCUUGCCAUACCACAGUAACUACUCCAAGGCCUGUAAUUGAAUAUGAUUCAGACUUCAUGCCAGAAGGUUCUGAUUCCCAGAUGUCUUUUUCACAGUCACCAUUUUUGGCAAGUGCCAAAUCACCAGCCCUUGUGGAAAAGGAGGCCGAUGGUCUUGCUGAGUUGCCAGAUCGCAUUAAGCCGCCUUUCACGAACAGGCUCCCACAAAUGUAUGUUAGAUCAGCAUCUGCUGAAGAUGUUAAGUUGGUUUUAAAUGAGUGUAGGCCUGUUAUAGAGGUUCGAAGAUGCAGCAUGCCUGCUGCAGUUUCUGAACGCAGCAAACAGCCUCGAACAUCAGAAGAAAACAACCAAAAUGCUCUGCCAUCAGUUCAGACUUACAAUAGCACUUCUCCUAAACCAGAGCUACUGUGCAGCGCACUUGAAAGAGAUUGUCAAAGCAGUGUGGCUGUUCUGCAGUCAAACUUCACAUCAUCUCCAAAUAGAGCUGUUAGCAGCAAGCAGGCAACAACGGGGACAAGUACCAUUAAAGAUACUGCUCAGAUGAGCCCUUCGGAAGACUCUAACAUGCAUUUAGAACCAGGUAGUCAAAGUGGUGUGACUCAGCAAACCAAACUGUGGGAUGUGCCUUUUGACAGACUUAAUUCAUUAAACAAUGAUUUUAGCAGCUCAGGUUGUGGUGUACCAGAGCAAGAUGCUAAAAGCAUUAUAACAGUGCAUAAUUCUGAGAGCAGGACGUUAAAAGAGCAACAAGUAUCUGAAUUUUUGCCUCAGCACCCUGAAAUUAAGGGAAGUUCCAGUUCUCAAGAAUCUGCAUCAUUUUUGCCUUCACAGUCGCCUUGUUCUUUACCUAUCCAGCCAGUUCCACUUGUGUCAAAACAUGUUUCUUUACCAGGCAUUAUCAGUCAAGAUUCAUCAUUAGUACAGCAGCAAAAUCUAGUUCUGACUGCAACUUCUGCUUUGGAAACAGAUGCUGCCAAUACCAGAGAGCUAGAAAAUGCUUUCUUCCCUUCAAACAUUAGGAAAACUGAUGCACCCAUGGUUGUAUAUUCUGAGAGCUCUGCAAAAGAUGUUUCACAGAGCUAUGAAAAGGUGAAUGAUUUACCACUGAUACCAUUAGAGGAGGAUACUCCUGAAAGUGAUAGCAGUUCACAGUUAAACGUGAAUUCAUACUCAUUCAAUAAAGUUGUUUGUAAGAAUGCCCUGAGUGAAGUGGAUGGUUACACAACAGAUACUUCAGAUAUUAGAAAUGAAAAAGACCAACAAGAAAAAUUGGUCUCUGUGCAUGUUGUUGAUAGUAAAGCCAAUGCUGAUCUCUGUGAACUAAGUUCAGGAAUGUCAAAGGGAAUUACAAAUGAAUUGGUUAAUAAAAGCCCCUGCCCUGCAGACAGAGAAACUGUGUUGGCGGAUGAUCCACCACAGUACUCUUCUAUAUCUAAUUUGGAAAAUAGUUCACAACAGAUUACCCAGGAAGAGGUGCAUAAAUACAGCCAAAUAGUUAAAGUAGAAGAAGUUGCUGAGGAUCAGAAGAUGGAACAGCAUGAAGUACCUCAAAGAAUUACAAGGAACAGAGCAAAUUUGCUUGCUAACCAGGGCAAGCAGAAUCCUCUUGGCUGUACACAAACAUCAGAAAAAGAGUCUGAAUCAUCAGCAUCUAUGAAAGCAAGAAUUAGAUUAACUGAAGAUGAUGAUGCUCAGGUACAUCAUCCACGUAAAAGGAAGGUGUCACGCGUGCCUCAGCCUGUGCAAGCAAACCCUUCUUUGCUGCAGGCCAAGGAGAAAACCCAGCAGUCACUGGCAGCUAUUGUUGAUUCUUUGAAACUUGAGGAGAUUCAGCCAUACAGUUCUGAGAGAGCAAACCCCUACUUUGAAUACUUGCACAUAAGGAAGAAAAUAGAAGAGAAGCGUAAAUUGCUGUGCAGUGUUAUUCCUCAGGCACCUCAAUAUUACGAUGAAUAUGUCACCUUCAAUGGCUCCUACCUGCUGGAUGGCAAUCCCCUGAGCAAGAUAUGCAUCCCAACUCCUGGAUCACCUAAGGCUGUGAGGACAUUCGUGUAUGAAUUAUGGCUUCCCUCUCACCAGUACAAAUACAAAACAUAAGGUAGGAGACAUCAGGUCAGUUCAAAAUAGGAGGAAACAAAUCUGAAUCUUCUAACAAAGAAAUUUCAAUUGUACUUGGCUCUGUUGCCUUUCAGGUUGUUCCAAGUUCUGCAGGGUUCAGUCAUCUUUAUCUGUAUUGUCUCCUGAGAGGAGGUGCCAGGAUGAUUCACUGCCAGCCUCCAAUGGCUAUCAGCAGAUGUGUUUCUAGUAAAGGGGAUUCUGUCCGGUCUCCCUGGCAUUGCUGUAGAAACUCAAGUAGUAAGAUCUAAUUUUAGGAGUAUUACCAGAAACUUGUUUUCAAAAUGCACUAAAUAGAACAUUAGAGUAGGCCCGUUGUUUGGGUGACAUAGAAGAGGGGAGGUUUGUAGCAGGCACAAAUGGGGAUUGAAGGUUUAUAGAGUGAAGAGUUGAUGCUGUGGUUGUAGUUGUUUUGGUGCAUGCAAGGCCUGCAGGAAAGUUGCUGAUGGAUUUUGAUGUGUUGCAGAUGGGAAGGGCAUGCCUUGAACGUGAGCUCUGACCAAUGAAACCUACUCUAAUGGCUGGCUCCAAGUGAGGUGGAGCAGAGGCACAAGGCCAAGUUCUGUCUGGCUUUUCUGGGUGAAUUCUCAGACUGGGAACAGGGAAUUCUCUGGGCCCCUUUGUUUCCCCUCUCUUCUGUAUGAAGCCUGGGCCCUUAAGAAAAUAGUUCAGUGUUUUGGUUAUGCAAAAAACAGAGGACCUUUUUUUUGUGUUCAGGCUCAUGCUCUGUUCUUGCAAGUCCAACUUACAUGUUUUUAUUUUCCAUACACAGUUUUUUGUGUUCUCUUUAGUAAUGGUGUCUUUGACCAGGAGGUCCAAGAGUCUCCUCUAGCUGUUCCUGCCUCAGACCCUCUAAGUCAGACUUUUUGGUCUCAAAGAAACCAAUUUCCUUUGUCUGAAUCCAGUGCUGGUUCACAAGCUGGGCUUUCCAGCAGGUGGUGUGCGACUGCCCGAAUCCUGUGUUCAGACUCCUGAGGAUCUGAGGCUCACUCUUCCCAAGUUUCCAAGAAGAGAGGAAAAAAACAGAAUUCCAUAAAUGACUGUAAACAAACCUAGUAUUUAGCUGUACAUUUUGGCAGGUGGUGCUGGGCUGGGCGGGAGUGAAGAGUUUAUGAACUCUUUUCCAGUGGCAGUAGGGAUCUCUGGGGUCAUGGAGACCUGUCAGUGUCACACAAGUCUGAACAUAAUCUGUGUUCAGGGCUGAACAUAAUCUGCUGAAACAGAGUUCUCCAUGUUUAGAUAGAAGUCCACACAGCUCUGCUGUCUAGGUGAUCAGCUACUUGUCAGGUUAUUUCUGUGGUGUUGAUUUUGAUUUCUGUUGCACAAUUAAACUGUCUGUAAACUUAAGGGAAUAACAUUUUAAAAUAUUUGAAAUGGAGUAACAUUACAAGAGUGAAUGGGUUCAAACUGAGAGAGGGCAGGUUUAGAUUAGGUAGUAGGAAAAAAUUCUUCACUGUGAGAGUGGUGAGACACUGGAGCAGGUUGCCAAGAGAAGCUGUGGAUGCCUCAUCCCUGGAAGUCUUCAGUACCAGAUUGGAUGAGGCCUUGAGUAACCUGGUCUAGUGGGUGGCAUCCCUACACAUGGCAGGGGGCUUGGAACUCGAUGACCCCUGCGGUUCCUUCCUACCCAGACCAUUGUGUGAUUCUGUGAAAUUGUUCAAGUGAUGUGGAUGCUUGCCAGCUCUGAAAUUUUUAUUUCUGGAAAAUCCAGAUUACACCACCUCCAUCACUGUCGGACCCACUUAAGGAACUGUUUAAACAGCAGGAGGUUGUAAGGAUGAAACUACGUUUACAGCACAGUAUUGAAAGGGAAAAGCUUAUUGUGUCUAAUG